CUCAUUACAAGCCCAAGACAAAAGCUACCUCUUCUUUCUGCCUUCACUAUUCAGUAUUCUUCAUAUCAAGUGUUCAGAAUGAAGUUUCCUGCUCAGUUUCUUGGGCUGAUAGUGCUCUGGAUUCCUGGAGCAACUGGUGAUAUUGUGAUGACUCAAGCUCCACUCUCUGUAUCUGUCACUCCUGGAGAGUCAGCUUCCAUCUCCUGCAGAUCUAGUAAGAGUCUGUUACAUAGUAAUGGCAACACUUACGUGAAUUGGUACCUUCAGAAGCCAGGAAAGUCUCCUCAGUUCCUGAUAUAUCGGAUGUCCAACCUUGCCUCAGGAGUUCCAGACAGGUUUAGUGGCAGUGGGUCAGAAACAGAUUUUACACUGAAAAUCAGUAAGGUGGAGACUGAGGAUGUUGGUGUUUAUUACUGUGGACAUGGUCUAGAAUAUCCUCCCACAGUGUUACAGCCUUGAACAAAAACACCACGCUUGAGGUGAAAUAACUGCCUCAUAAACUGCUUGUAUCAGCUGUAGCAUGGUAUAACUGGCGUGACAAAGUGAACAUAUAUUUUAAGGAGACACUUAUUUACCUCUGACUCAGCUAUUGACACAAUGGACCAUGGAAAUUCGAACUUCCAUGAGAGUUUCAUGCUCUGAGGAGCAGAAGCAGCAACUUCUCUGCGGGGACAAGAUUUCAUAGUGUCUUAUCUGACAAAGUUCAGUCAGUUAUAUCAAUGAUAGGUAGGACCAAACCUUGAACAGCACUUCUACAGUGUUCAUCUCUUUGAAUUUCCGUUUCAUAUUUAAUCUCAUUUCAGAACUACAUGAGACUCAGAUAGUUAUCUUUAAAUGUAUUUGUUUCAUUGGUCAAUUUUAUUUUUCUGGUUUUUAAUUCCAGUUUGGCUUACUGAGGGCAGGUUGCUAGUCUAGACAUGGGACAUAAUGUGUAUAUUAUGGAGAUUCUUUGAGACUUUAUAAAAGGUAGAUGUUGAAAGAUCCAAGAUAAUGAGUAGUUGAUUAAUUGCACGGAGAGAAAAAGAGGGAGAGAGAGAGAGAGAGAGAGAGAGAGAGAGAGAGAGAGAAAUAAAGGGAAAGGAGACUAAAAUGUCUGAACCAGGAUGCCUGCUGCUUAUACCUUACCUUUAUGUCUUAUCUUCUCUAAUUUCCGCGGUGGGAGAUCAUACCUUGAAUGUCCCUAUAAUGUACAUAGCUGUCACUGUCCAUGCCAGUGGGAGUACUUCCAAAUUAUUUUGUAUCUGUUAAUUAAUUUAUUCAUUUUAAUAUCCCUGUCAAUUCCUCUGCUCAAUCUCUGCCCCUCACAAGUCUCCCCAUCCCCUUCUCCCUUGAGAGGGUCAAGACCCUCUCUGGGUGUUCCCCGACUCUGGUGCAUUAAAUUUCUCUAGGACUAGGUUAAUCUUCUCUCACUGAGGCCAGAAAAUGCAGACCAUAAAAGGACUGGACUCCCCAGACAAGCAACAGGGAGCUCUCAUUUUCAAUGUUGCCAUAGCACCAGUUAACAUAUGAAAGAGGGGUAGAGCUGCUAUAAAGCUGUUGCUAGAUUCUAACAUCAU